rnacentral:misc_RNA from 1 species
ACACCCCUCAAGCCUGGCUUGGUAUUUGGGCGUCGGGACUUUCCCCCGCGCCCCGAUUUCGCCGGCUGGACGACCCCGAUCUCUCAAGCGUUGUACAACUCUCGCUGGUAAGACGGGCGGCCACGCCGUUAACUCCUUAAUCAAAG